UUGGGACCUGAUAUCAAGCAAGACUACCCGCUGAACCUA
rnacentral:rRNA from 1 species